rnacentral:misc_RNA from 1 species
CAGUUAGUAACAACAACUUCAUCUUCAACUGUCACAGCUUCUCCAAGAAUGGUUAUUCCAAGCUUUGUAUUGUAGUCUCCAUCAGCCUGGACUCUUGACCAUCUUCCUAGAGAUGAUUUCCAACCAAUAAUAGAAUGCAUAACAACUGCAUUUUCCUGAAUUUCAACAUCAUCUAAAAUAAUGCAACUUAUAAGCCUCACUCCUGCUCCUACACGAACAUUUGCUGAAACAGAGACAUUGGGGCCAAUCUUUGCAGUUGGGUGCACUUUUGCUGAUGGAUGAAUAUAAACAUCACCGAUAAUGCUCGCAUUCCUAGAUCCAUCCCCAGUGGCCAACAGAUGAGGAGAGGUAAAUUGAUAUUGGGAAAGAUAUAAAGCAGAACAUUUCAAAGACAUUCCUGGAGUCUUGAUUUGUUCCCAGAAAUCAGUGGUCUCAUAUGUAUACAAUAGCUUCUUUCCAGCAAGAGGCGACAAAAUAUCUUGAUCUAACCUUACGAAAUCUGUAGGAAGACUGGUUCUUGUUACAGACUGAAGGCUCUCAAAGCUGGAUACACGUAAUAGAUUUGCUCUGUCUUCUCGAUUAGUGAAGACACCUUGAAUGGCAGUAAAGAUCUCUGGGGUGAAGACAUAGACACCACAGUUUAUCAAAUCACUUAC